UUAACUCUACUAAGAAUGUUUUAUUCAAGCUUAUGGUUAAUCAUUGCUGAUUGCCACGAAAAUUGUACUCUAUACAUCUUGCAUGUAUAAGUCAGGUAUGAAAGGCUGAUCACCUUCAUUACCAGUUGGUUCAGAAAUGUUUGUUCAUGUUUAAAACUUGUUCAGUCAAAAGUUUGUUCAUGCUAGUUCUCAAUUAUAUUGAUGAAUUAUAGCCAGCU
rnacentral:lncRNA from 1 species